CAGGACGGCCAUAGGGAUGGAGUUCACCUGUUCCCAUUUCGAACACAGAAGUUAAGCCAUUCUUCGCCGAUGAUACUCUGAGCAGAGCUCGCGGGAAAGUAGGACGUUGCCAGC
rnacentral:rRNA from 1 species